rnacentral:rRNA from 1 species
CAAAAGCGUAUAUUAAAGUUGUUGCAGUUAAAAAGCUCGUAGUUGAACCUUGGGCUUGGCUGGCCGGUCCAUCUUUUUUGAUGCGUACUGGACCCAGCCGAGCCUUUCCUUCUGGCUAGCCUUUUGGCGAACCAGGACUUUUACUUUGAAAAAAUUAGAGUGUUCAAAGCAGGCCUUUGCUCGAAUAUGUUAGCAUGGAAUAAUAGAAUAGGACGUUAUGGUUCUAUUUUGUUGGUUUCUAGGACCAUCGUAAUGAUUAAUAGGGACGGUCGGGGGUAUCAGUAUUCAGUUGUCAGAGGUGAAAUUCUUGGAUUUACUGAAGACUAACUACUGCGAAAGCAUUUACCAAGGACGUUUUCAUUAA